GUCAGAAUGGUUUAGUGGUUUGAGUGUUGGGACUAUAACUCUGGAGAUCAGGGUUCAAAUCCCAUUCAGCCA